UGGGGUGGCACUCAGGGUCAAGGCCACAGCCAGGCCCUCAGAGCUGGGUGCUGCGUGCUGGGGCUGCGGGGGGCUCGCCGUGGCUCAAGCAUCCCACGGGCAGGCUUGCUGGCCAGCCCGGCCCGCUGCUCUCUCUUGAAGCCACCUGUCCACUGACCUGGGCUCCAGCGGGGGCUGUGGACCAGCAGGGGCCUUGGAAUGUUUUCACAGGAGGGCUGGAGGCCGCGACUGGCCUUGACCGUCCACUUGCAGAGACCGGUGGCGGGGAGACUGCAGGAGGACUGACCUCUGUCAUCCCGUGGUGUCACCCCUGAUUCAGGCCCUAAGCAAGCCCCAAAGGUGAACUAAAGGGCGCCCAGAGCCUGCCAACAGCUGUCACCUCCCCCCAGGCUCACUGCUCAAGCCUCUGCUGUCGCUCCCCACUUUCCAUGCCAGAGGGUCGGGGUCUGUGGCCCCCUUCCCAGGGCCCCACCCCCCUACCCUAUCCUGAGAGCCUCCCAUUGGCCCGCGGCAGGCCCACACCCCGGGUGCUCCCCUCCCCCCAGCUCCCCACUCUGGGUCCUUACCCUUCCUCGGUCCAGCUCAAUACCCCCCACCCCCUGGGAGCCACACCCACCACCCCUGUGGAAGCCACGUGGCUCCCCCACCGAUAGCACAGCCAGCCCAGGGGCCCUCUCGGCCAGCUCCACGUGGUGCCUGUGUGACCCCAGGUGAGGAAUUUGAGCAAACAUUUCUCUAGAGAAGACGUGACGGCCAACAGACACCCAGAAGGGUGCUCGCCAUCAGGGCGACGCGGAUCGGAACCGCGGUGAGAUAGCGCCGCACGCCUGUCACGAAGGCUCGAGUAAAAAAAGAUAAGAAACCACAAGCGUUGGCGAGGACGUGGAGAAAGGGAGCCCUCGCGCGCCGCUGGAGGGAACGCAACCUGGUGUGGCCCCCAGGGACGGAGCCCAGGUGGAGGUGCCUCGGAAAGUGAAAGUUCCCGUAAGACCCAGGAACUCCACUCCUGGGGAUUUAUCCAGGGAAAAUGAAGACACUAAUUCAAAGAGAUACCUGCACCCCCACGUUCACCGCAGCGUUACUGACGACAGCCAAGGCAGGGCGGCGGCCAGAGGCUGCCCACGGAAGAAGGAAACCCUGCCGUCCACAACGACAGCUGGAUCUCAAGGGCACCACGGCAAAUGGCAAAUGCCCUGAGAUUUCACUCGUGUGGAAACCGCACAUACACGCGAAACCAAGCUUGUGGGUUCGGAGAACAGACUGAUGGUC